UGAGGAAUAUUGGUCAAUGGGCGAGAGCCUGAACCAGCCAAGUAGCGUGCAGGAUGACGGCCCUAUGGGUUGUAAACUGCUUUUAUAUGGGAAUAAAGUGAGGGACGUGUCCCUUAUUGCAUGUACCAUACGAAUAAGGACCGGCUAAUUCCGUGCCAGCAGCCGCGGUAAUACGGAAGGUCCAGGCGUUAUCCGGAUUUAUUGGGUUUAAAGGGAGCGUAGGCUGUUUGUUAAGCGUGUUGUGAAAUGUACCGGCUCAACCGGUGAAUUGCAGCGCGAACUGUUUGGCUUGAGUGCACGGUAAGCAGGCGGAAUUCAUGGUGUAGCGGUGAAAUGCUUAGAUAUCAUGAAGAACUCCGAUUGCGAAGGCAGCUUGCUGCAGUGCGACUGACGCUGAUGCUCGAAGGUGCGGGUAUCAAACAGG
rnacentral:rRNA from 1 species